rnacentral:rRNA from 1 species
GUCCAAGUCGCAACCACAAUUAUUGGGUCUAAAACAUCCGUAGCUUGCUUUGUAAGUCUCUUGUGAAAUCCGGCCUCUUAAGGGUCGAAGAGCGGGAGAUACUGCUAAGCUAGAGACCGGGAGAAGUAAGAAGUACGGUCGGGGUACCGGUAAAAUGGGUUGAUCCUGUCUGGACUAACAACAGCGAAGGCAUCUUACUAGCACGGAUCUGACAGUAAGGGAUGAAGGCUAGGGGCGCAAAAGG